AGGAGCGGCGCGCCCACACGAAUCAGGGCAGACCUGGGCACUGAGAACCGCUCAGUGGAGCAGAUGCAGAUGUUUUUAAGAGGUACCCAUGACGAUGAGUUCAGUGAGAGAUGCUACAUUACCGGUUCAAGCAAUCACAACCAAAGGAUUGAACAAUGGUGGGGAUUUUUAAGGAAACACCAUGCACAAUUCUGGAUCAGUGUCUUCCAAGAUUUAAAGGACCAUGACCACUUCUCAGGGGACUUCAUCGACAAAAAUCUCAUACAAUUCACAUGCUUGGAAAUAAUUGAGAGAGAGCUGCAGGACCUUGCUAACCUGUGGAAUUGCCACAGAAUUCGCCCCAGUAGGAAUGCAGUUUCUCCAAGUGGACGACCACUAUUGAUGUACAACCUUCCCCAUCUGUUUGGCACCACAAACUACAUCAAGGCAGUAUCCCAUCAACAGAUCCAGGCUUGUAGAGAGGAAUGCCUGCCAAGAGGUCCAAAUCCAUGUGAUGAGACUGUUUUUGACAUUUGCUGCCUUGCAAUGUCAGAAAACUAUCUGCACCCACCUACUUCUUCUGAGGAGGCAAUUGAACUCUACCUUUUCUUACGAGCCUACAUCCACACUCAGAUUUAAUAGCUGUUCCCAGACAGACAGCAGCGACCUGCAGAAAGAUAACUAGCCAACCGGUGAAUUUUAACUUUAAAAUUGCCUGUAACUGACCUGAAAUAUCAUUGUCACUGUUAUUUUUGUUGUUAAUAUCUGUCUAAUUAAUGUUUUGUAAUCACCAUGGCAGUGACAAUUGCAAAUUUACCUGUAUUACAUCUGAAUGUCAUUUUAGUAUGAAGACAAUUGAAACCUGUGAGGUACAGUAUGUUUAAAGUCUUGAUUAUGUGUAAUGUAUACACUGUGGGCUUUGUCAAAAGAGUAAAUAAUUUAUAGGCUCUGUUAUAACUUUGAUUCAAACACUUUACCUGAUUUAUAAAGGGACCAACUGGUACCAACUGUGCCCAAAUCUUUGUAAUAUAAUAUUGAAAUUCAAGCACUCUGGAAUUCAUCUUCAGGAUUAUCGGUCUCUUAAAAAAUGCUGAAAAAUUACAUUAGACAGCAAAUGGUGAACACUAAUAUCAUUAAUGUGGCAUUUUGUUGAAUGCAAUGAAGUUAAUAAAAACUUUUUUGUA